CAUGUACUUCACAAGUGUACACAUGUUUCCACACAAAGCCCCCCUGCACCUGUCCACACACAAGCCCAUGCCUUCGGAGCUCAGAACAAGGGGAUAAGACUAUCUGUUUUCAGUCACUUGCCCUGUGCUUAAUGCAUCAAAGUGAGGGUGGGCUUGUCUUCAAGGUUUGUUCCCAAAGUGUGGGAGAGCAUUAAGGAUGACUCAGCCACUUAACAAGAGCAGCCUUGGCCUUGGUUCAAACUCUGAAGUUGCAAUGCCAGUGAAAGUCAGACAUUUGCAUAUUGCUGUGCCUCCUGGGCUCCUGGGUAUUUUUUUUUUUUUUAAAUUUUGAGCUGUCCUAGGGAUGGAGCCUCGGAUCUUAGGUGUGCCAGACAAAUGCUCCAUGGCAGAGCUACCUCCCCAGUCCUCCUUGUACUUCUUUAUUUUGGCAGAGUCUCGCUGAGUUGUUCAGGAUGACCUUGAACUCAUUCUGUAGCCCAGGGACUUCAAGCCUUGCCUGAAAAAGAAAGCACUGAACGGCUGUGGGAGGGCACUGAGUCCAUCUUCAAACAGAGGAGGAAAGCACGUAACUCUGCUCCUGUGCCAUCAUCUCCUCUUGGACACUUUUGCCUCUGGGAAAACAAAAACCUUGUGUUAGUUCAGCCAUUUUACUAAACAGACAAGGCUUUGCUUGUGGUGUA